CUGGCUUUCAACGCUGGCCAAGGGUGAAAUUGCAUUACAUUCUGCCUGGUAAUGAGGUGUUGCAGGUCUCGGCCCCCAGCCAGAAGACGCAGCUCUGGCCACCAGCCCUGGCCCAGCCAUCCUCCAGCCAGGACUGGACUGCCUAGCAGAGCCAGGGAGGAGGCAGGGUGCAAGUACUUGAGGCACAGAAAAGUGCAGAGGCAGAGGGUCAACACCAGCCACUCUGCUUACAGUAAUUGGUUACAACAGCCAACAGAAUCUAAUCCAGUGCCCGAUGAACAAGCCGCCACUAAGGCUGAUACUCAUUCCAGACAGAGGGCAGACCAUGUGACUCCCAAGGAUGCUCUGCCCUGCCAAACCGCUGCCCGCUGGCCUUCAUCCUGCUCAACCGUGCCCUGAUGACCAUUAGCCAUGGCUGGAAAAUCAAUGGCUGCUGCCAGGAGGACAGCACGCGCUAUGGCCUCCUCUUUGCAUACAUGGAACUCUAAAUCCCAGAGAGGCAAGACCAGAGACUUCUCAGGUCCCUCCCAGCACACACAGCAAACACAAGAGCUAUGAACAUUAAUCUUGUGCCAAACUACCAAAGCCUGGUCUCCUUGAACUUUCUACUGCCCCAGCCCAGAACAGUCUAUGCCAUAUGGCCAAUGAAGGUAGAUAAAGGGUCUUUAUAGUACAACAUUGUAAAAUUAUACACCCUGGAGUACAUGUCUGUGAGCUUUAAAUGGAAAUCAUACAAAGGAGUACAGACAGAGUUGAAACUUUUCUCCGUCAAGCCUUCUGUUAUGUUAGAGACAGGCUAGCUGGCCCACAAGUCUAUGAGGAGUCUCCUGUCUCAAUUUCCCAUCUCACCACAGUGCUGGGGUUACAGAUGCUACCACAUUCUGGGGUUCUGGGGGUCCAAACGGGCUUUCUCCUUAGCCCUAAAAUUCAGACAAAACUAUUAAACAUAGAUAAAUUUUUUGCC
rnacentral:lncRNA from 1 species